CCCUUAGAUGUUCUGGGCCGCACGCGUGCUACACUGAGUGGAUCAGCGGGUCAGGUUGCGCGAAAGCGUUUCCUAAUCUUUAAAUCCGCUCGUGAUGGGGAUUGACGGUUGCAAUUUUCUGUCAUGAACGAGGAAUACCUUGUAAGCGCGGGUCAUCAUCCCGCGCUGAAUACGUCCCUGCCCUUUGUACACACCGCCCGUCGCUCCUACCGAUUGAAUGAUCCGGUGAAAUCUUCGGACCGCGAUGUUUACCUGGUUCUCUGGGCUAACGUUGUGGGAAGUUGCUUGAACCUUAUCAUUUAGAGGAAGGAGAAGUCGUAACA
rnacentral:rRNA from 1 species